GACGAACGCUGGCGGCGUGCUUAACACAUGCAAGUCGAACGGAAAUGCUCCAGCUUGCUGGAUUACUCGAAUGGCGAACGGGUGAGUAACACGUGGGUAAUCUUCCCUGCACUCUGGGAUAAGCCUCGGAAACUGGGUCUAAUACUGGAUAUGACCCUUCUCCUUAUGGGGUUUUGUGGAAAGUUUUUCGGUGUAGGAUGAGCCCGCGGCCUAUCCGCUUGUUGGUGGGGUGCUGGCCUACCAAGGCGACGACGGGUAGCCGGCCUGAGAGGGUGAUCGGCCACAUUGGGACUGAGAUACGGCACAGCCUGCUACGGGAGGCAGCAGUGGGGAAUAUUGCACAAUGGGCGGAAGCCUGACGCAGCGCCGCCGCGUGAGGGAUGACGGCCUUCGGGUUGUAAACCUCUUUCAGCAGGGACGAAGCGUAAGUGACGGUACCUGCAGAAGAAGCACCGGCUAACUAGGUG
rnacentral:rRNA from 1 species